CUGCCUGAGGGAAGAUCCAGAAUGCACAGGCGGAGGCACCUGCUCUUGGACACAACUGGAAUCUACUUUUGAGGGGUCUACACCUGUGAGACAUCACCACAAUCAAGACUGUGACCAUGCCCACCAGGCAGGCAGCUCUGUGAACCCCUCCAUUCCUCCUGUACUCCCUCUCCAGGUUGAAGCCCUAAUCCCCAGUUUCUCAGAAUAUGACUUUACCUGGGCAUAAGGCCUUUAAAGGGUGAUUAAGUUACAGUGAGAUCCUUGGUUUGAGUCCUAGUCCAAUGUGACUUAUAAGAAGAGAAGAUUAAGAUGGAGACACAUACUGAGGGAAGACUGUGUGAAGACAAGAGAAGACUAUCAUCUACAAGCCAAAGAGAGUGGCCUCGGGAAAAACCUGUCCUGCCAAUGCCUUCAUCUUGGACUUCUGGCCUACAGAAUUCUGAGAAAAUAAAUUUCCGUGGUUUAGGCACCUAGUGUGUAUUUGUUACAGCAGUCAGAGCAAACUAAUACAGUCUCUUAUCACCCAA